AGGCGAAGAACCUUACGCANGGCUUGACAUGCACACGACGAUACUAGACAUUGUAUUUCCCUUCGGGGCGUGUGCACAGGUGCUGCAUGGCUGUCGUCAGCUCGUGCCGUGAGGUGUUUGGUUAAGUCCAGCAACGAGCGCAACCCUUAUCAUUAGUUGCCAACAUAUUAGGUGGGAACUCUAAUGAGACUGCCUGGGUUAACCAGGAGGAAGGCGAGGAUGACGUCAAGUCCGCAUGGCCCUUAUGUCUGGGGCUACACACGUGCUACAAUGGUCGGUACAGAAGGCAGCGAAACCGCGAGGCGAAGCAAAUCCCUAAAACCGAUCCCAGUUCAGAUUGUAGUCUGCAACUCGACUACAUGAAGACGGAGUUGCUAGUAAUGGCGAGUCAGCAACAUCGCCGUGAAUACGUUCCCGGGUCUUGUACACACCG
rnacentral:rRNA from 1 species